CGCGCGCGCGCGCGCCCCUUUCCUCGGCCUGAGUUUCGCGGCGCGGCGGACAUGGCGGUGGAGUCCUGAGCUCGUCGUGUCCCGGCCUCCAGCGGCGGCGGCAGUGACGGCGGCGGCGGCGGCAGCGGGAGGCGGCGGGGGGAGCGGGAGCCACUGAGAUGAGGAGGCGCCGCGCGCGCCUGUAGCUCGCGGGCCUCGCAGGUAUUCUGAGGGUUGUGUUCCUUAUUGCCUGAAGUUAGGUGCAGUCGAGUGACCUGUUUCGGUAAACGAAAUGUGAGCAAAGGUAAUCACUGCUUUUUCUUCUCUCCCUGUUUUACUAAAAGUGAGAGGUUAGCAAAGCAGCUU
rnacentral:lncRNA from 1 species